AGGAGGAAUAACCGCAGUGGGCGGCAGCUCUGGAAACCUGGAUUCAGCCCCCGCAGAAACCUCGGAGCUCUCCGUCUGCAGGGCCUGGAGGCUCCGGGGCGGG
rnacentral:pre_miRNA from 1 species